rnacentral:rRNA from 1 species
CGGGACUUAGUGCCGACGCUAACGCAUUAAGCACUCCGCCUGGGGAGUACGACCGCAAGGUUGAAACUCAAAGGAAUUGACGGGGGCCCGCACAAGCGGUGGAGCAUGUGGUUUAAUUCGAAGCAACGCGAAGAACCUUACCAGGUCUUGACAUCCCGAUGCCCGCUCUAGAGAUAGAGUUUUUCUUCGGAACAUCGGAGACAGGUGGUGCAUGGUUGUCGUCAGCUCGUGUCGUGAGAUGUUGGGUUAAGUCCCGCAACGAGCGCAACCCUUAUUGUUAGUUGCCAUCAUUAAGUUGGGCACUCUAGCGAGACUGCCGGUAAUAAACCGGAGGAAGGUGGGGAUGACGUCAAAUCAUCAUGCCCCUUAUGACCUGGGCUACACACGUGCUACAAUGGUUGGUACAACGAGUCGCAAGCCGGUGACGGCAAGCUAAUCUCUGAAAGCCAAUCUCAGUUCGGAUUGUAGGCUGCAACUCGCCUACAUGAAGUCGGAAUCGCUAGUAAUCGCGGAUCAGCACGCCGCGGUGAAUACGUUCCCGGGCCUUGUACACACCGCCCGUCACACCACGAGUGUUUGUAACACCCAAAGUCGGUGAGGUAACCAUUUAUGGGGCCAGUCGCCUAAGGUGGGANG